UACGUAGGGUGCGAGCGUUUAAUCGGAAUUACUGGGCGUAAAGCGUGCGCAGGCGGUUAUGCAAGACAGAUGUGAAAUCCCCGGGCUCAACCUGGGAACUGCAUUUGUGACUGCAUGGCUGGAGUGCGGCAGAGGGGGAUGGAAUUCCGCGUGUAGCAGUGAAAUGCGUAGAUAUGCGGAGGAACACCGAUGGCGAAGGCAAUCCCCUGGGCCUGCACUGACGCUCAUGCACGAAAGCGUGGGGAGCAAACAGG
rnacentral:rRNA from 1 species